GAUGAACGCUGGCGGCGUGCCUAAUACAUGCAAGUCGAGCGAACAGACGAGGAGCUUGCUCCUCUGACGUUAGCGGAGGACGGGAGAGUAACACGUGGAUAACCUAACUAUAAGACUGGGAUAAUAACGGGAAACCGGAGCUAAUACCGGAUAAUUUAUUGAACUGAAAGGUUCAAUAGUCAAAGACGGUUUUGAUGUAACUUAUAGCUGGAUCCGCGCCGGAUUAGCAAGUUGGUAAGGUAACGGAUUAACAAGGCAACGAUGCGUAGCCGACCUGAGAGCGUGAUCCGCCACACUGUCACUGAGACACAGUCCAGACACUUACGCUAGGCCGCAGUACGGAAUCUUACGCGAUGGGCGAAAGCCUGACGGAGCGACGCCGCGUGAAUGCUGAAGGUCUCCGGCUCGUAAAACUCUGUUAUUAUGAGAAAACAAAUGUUUAAUCAACUGUGCACGUCUUGACGGUACCUGAAGAAAAAGCCCCGGCUAACUACGUG
rnacentral:rRNA from 1 species